UGAUUUUGAUGUGUCACUUGAUAUUGAAGUCUGUAGAGCUUUAAUAAAUGGUCAUUGCAGGGAGAACAAUUUCUGUGAGGCUCAGUCGCUGUUAAGCUUCUUUGCUCAAGAAUUUAAAAUAUUUGACACAGUUUGUUACAACACAAUUGUCAGGCUUCUAAGUGGUGAAGCUGAUAUUGCAAAAUUGAUGAAAUUUCAAGAUAAAAUGAGGAAAGUGGGUUUUGCGCCAAAUCAGCUGACAUGCAAGUACAUUAUUGAUGGAUUACAGAAAGCUGUCGGAGUUCACAAGAUCAACAGCUGAGUGCAGUAAUGAGGUGCUUGGAUUCACACAUCUUGAG
rnacentral:misc_RNA from 1 species